CUACGGGGUGCUCCAGUGGGGAAUAUUGCACAAUGGAGGAAACUCUGAUGCAGCAACGCCGCGUGGAGGAUGACACUUUUCGGAGCGUAAACUCCUUUUAUAUAGGAAGAAGAUGACGGUACUAUAUGAAUAAGCGCCGGCUAACUCCGUGCCAGCAGCCGCGGUAAUACGGAGGGCGCAAGCGUUACUCGGAAUCACUGGGCGUAAAGGGCGUGUAGGCGGAUUAAAAAGUCAGAAGUGAAAUCCUAUAGCUUAACUAUAGAACUGCUUCUGAAACUCUUGAUCUAGAAUAUGGGAGAGGUAGAUGGAAUUUCUGGUGUAGGGGUAACAUCCGUAGAGAUCAGAAGGAAUACCGAUUGCGAAGGCGAUCUACUAGAACAUUAUUGACGCUGAGACGCGAAAGCGUGGGGAGCAAACAGGAUUAGAUACCCUAGUAGUC
rnacentral:rRNA from 1 species